rnacentral:miRNA from 1 species
GCAGACACAUUCCAGCCAAUCAGCAGCAGACCCUCCCUCCCAGACCCUCCCACCUCCUGGACAGCAUCCAAUUUGAAGCUACAUUCUUAGUGAGCUGUCCAGGAGAUGGGAGGGUCUGGGAGGGAGGGUCUGCUGCUGAUUGGCUGGAAUGUGUCUG